GUCCUCAGCAUCGGCAGCACAUAUACUAAAAUUGGAACGAGAAGAUUAGCAUGGCCUCUGCGCAAGGAUGACACGGGGAAAAAAAGCAGCACAUUAGCUAGUC